AUUGAACGCUGGCGGCAGGCCUAACACAUGCAAGUCGAGCGGAAACGAUGGAAGCUUGCUUCCAGGCGUCGAGCGGCGGACGGGUGAGUAAUGCAUAGGAAUCUGCCCGAUAGUGGGGGAUAACGUGGGGAAACUCACGCUAAUACCGCAUACGUCCUACGGGAGAAAGCAGGGGAUCUUCGGACCUUGCGCUAUCGGAUGAGCCUAUGUCGGAUUAGCUAGUUGGUGAGGUAACGGCUCACCAAGGCGACGAUCCGUAGCUGGUCUGAGAGGAUGAUCAGCCACACUGGGACUGAGACACGGCCCAGACUCCUACGGGAGGCAGCAGUGGGGAAUAUUGGACAAUGGGGGAAACCCUGAUCCAGCCAUGCCGCGUGUGUGAAGAAGGCCUUCGGGUUGUAAAGCACUUUCAGCGAGGAAGAAGGCCUGAGGGCUAAUACCCUUCAGGAAGGACAUCACUCGCAGAAGAAGCACCGGCUAACUCCGUGCCAGCAGCCGCGGUAAUACGGAGGGUGCGAGCGUUAAUCGGAAUUACUGGGCGUAAAGCGCGCGUAGGUGGCUUGAUAAGCCGGUUGUGAAAGCCCCGGGCUCAACCUGGGAACGGCAUCCGGAACUGUCAGGCUAGAGUGCAGGAGAGGAAGGUAGAAUUCCCGGUGUAGCGGUGAAAUGCGUAGAGAUCGGGAGGAAUACCAGUGGCGAAGGCGGCCUUCUGGACUGACACUGACACUGAGGUGCGAAAGCGUGGGUAGCAAACAGG
rnacentral:rRNA from 1 species